rnacentral:rRNA from 1 species
CAGUCGCCGCGGGAAUACGGAGGGUGCAAGCGUUAAUCGGAAUUACUGGGCGUAAAGCGCACGCAGGCGGUCUGUUAAGUCAGAUGUGAAAUCCCCGGGCUCAACCUGGGAACUGCGUUCUGAACUGGGUGACUAGAGUGUGUCAGAGGGAGGUAGAAUUCCACGUGUAGCAGUGAAAUGCGUAGAGAUGUGGAGGAAUACCGAUGGCGAAGGCAGCCUCCUGGGAUAACACUGACGUUCAUGCCCGAAAGCGUGGGUAGCAAACAGGAUUAGAUACCCCUGUAGUCCCUGUCUCUUAUAC